ACGGGUGAGUAACGCGUGAGUAACCUGCCUUCAACAGGGGGAUAACAUUCUGAAAAGAAUGCUAAUACCGCAUGAUAUAUCGGAACCACAUGGUUUUGAUAUCAAAGAUUUUAUCGCUUGAAGAUGGACUCGCGUCCGAUUAGUUAGUUGGUGAGGUAACGGCUCACCAAGACCGCGAUCGGUAGCCGGACUGAGAGGUUGAACGGCCACAUUGGGACUGAGACACGGCCCAGACUCCUACGGGAGGCAGCAGUGGGGGAUAUUGCGUAAUGGGGGCAACCCUGACGCAGCAACGCCGCGUGAAGGAUGAAGGUUUUCGGAUUGUAAACUUCUUUUAUUAAGGACGAAAAUUGACGGUACUUAAUGAAUAAGCUCCGGCUAACUACGUGCCAGCAGCCGCGGUAAUACGUAGGGAGCAAGCGUUGUCCGGAUUUACUGGGUGUAAAGGGUGCGUAGGCGGCUUUGCAAGUCAGAUGUGAAAUCUAUGGGCUCAACCCAUAAACUGCAUUUGAAACUGUAGAGCUUGAGUGAAGUAGAGGCAGGCGGAAUUCCCCGUGUAGCGGUGAAAUGCGUAGAGAUGGGGAGGAACACCAGUGGCGAAGGCGGCCUGCUGGGCUUUAACUGACGCUGAGGCACGAAAGCGUGGGUAGCAAAC
rnacentral:rRNA from 1 species